rnacentral:rRNA from 1 species
GACGGAGGCCCCGAGCGUUGUUCGGAAUUACUGGGCUUAAAGCGCGUGUAGGCGGGCCGGUAAGUGCUUUGUGAAAUCCCCGGGCUCAACCCGGGAAUGGCUUGGCAUACUGCCGGUCUUGAGGCAGGUAGGGGUCACUGGAACCUUAGGUGUAGCGGUGAAAUGCGUAGAUAUCUAAGGGAACGCCGGUGGCGAAAGCGGGUGACUGGGCCUGUCCUGACGCUGAGACGCGAAAGCGUAGGGAGCAAACGGG